AAAGGGAGACCUAAUUCCGGUAGGAGACGAAAAAAAAGUAGUCCCAACCAAGAAUCAAUCCCAAAAGGUCGGAGCGAGGCGAAAUUGGCUUUCAAACUAGGUUCUGGGUUCACAGAAGACCUGAAUCAGGAACAAGGGCUAUUAGCUCAGGUGGUUAGAGCGCACCCCUGAUAAGGGUGAGGUCCCUGGUUCGAGUCCAGGAUGGCCCACCUGCACAGGUGGUAAAAACAAGAGAAGCGAGGAAUCAGCACCUUAUCUUACUUACAUAGUAAGAGAGAAUGCUGGCUCUGAGUAAAGAGUCCAGAGGAACCUUGAAAACUGCAUAGAGCUAGGUGAAAAAGCCAAAAAAGAAGACCGCAAG
rnacentral:tRNA from 1 species